GUAGCAAUGAACACGCAGUCUUGGUGCUGCCAGCUAAGGUCUGAGCAUUACUGUGUGGGUCAGAAUUGAUUGAUUUCCUUGUCUAAGUUAUUUGCAAGCUUAGUCAUUACUUUUGUAGCUGAUAAUUUCACUGGAGCUUGAGACCUGCCGUAUUAUGGCUUAUGAAAGUUUAACCAUCGGUGAACUCUUGGGCCAUAAAUCACGGUAGUGUUGCAUUGCUCUUAAAACUCGAUGGAAGUGCACGGCUGAAACAUGAGGAGGAGCACAGAGGAUCUCAGAGUGCAGCCUUUGGUGUGGAAACAUUGCAGCAAGUGUCAGGAUUCGUGUCCUGACCCGUUACAAGCCUCAGUGUUACUGAGAUGAGAGAAAGCAAAGCUCCUGCAGACACAGAGGCAUACUUCAGCCUGGUCCAGGACCAAAUCUCCUCUUAGCAUUAAUAAUACAUCAGUGGCUUUGGCGGGGGCAUGGUGACAUCAGUGUGGUACAUCUCUUGGGGAAAGUGAGAGAUGUAAGGUCCACUUUGUAAAACUGCGUGUCCACAGGAAAUGCUUUGACAACUGUGUGCUGCCAGCAGCUGAGAGGUGCUCCUGGCUCACGGCCUCCUGACCUUGCAGAGCAGUUUUCCAUAUGGAGCGCAUUCUGCCCGGUCCUCGAGGAGAGCACAGGUGUACACCAGCACAUGGUCACCUGGAAAGCAGCUUUUUGAUGACAAUCCAUCAGCGUUGGGGUGUUACUUCUGCUGCCUUCGGACCGAUAACCCAGCUGGUGCUUCACGAGACGUGUCAAUGUGAGGCCGUGUGUGUGGCUGUGCAAAGAGGAAUGGCAUCUUGAAAAUCAUCUUGAUAAAUACCUGCCGUCGGAGGCUGAGCCCUCCGCUGACAUAAAUAAGAGCCUUGGAAUGAAUAGCCCUAAAUAAAAGAUAGAUGCAAACAAAGAGCUGUGUUGCCUGGACUGCUGGUGAGCACCUGAGGAUCCCUGAUGUGCUGAAAGCAUGGUCUGUCCGAGAUUUCCCCAAUCUGCCGACUUCUCUAGUUGGGAUAAAGUAGGAGAAAAUGUAUUGUGGUUGAAAUGAAAACUGGCAGUUACAGCCUUCCCUUGGCAAGGAGGGCUAAGGUCCCUUCACCAACUCGGGCAGAAGGCAGAAAUCUUUCCUGGACCAUAAGAAUUCUAAUAACUCGAGGAUAAAAAGCAAUUCCCACUUAUACGGCUAAAAUUUCCAAUCAAGUCAUUAACACAGGCAGAAAGGAGACUCGGUAGAACAAUGUGUGUGGGACAGCAGAGGACUGCAGAAAUGAAGAUUCGUUUCUUCAGUGCAUAAUCUAUCCAUUAGAUUGGCUAACGUUAGCAUGGUGCUCCCGUGCCGGAGCGGAGCUGCAGCGAUGUGACCCAGAAUCCUGUUGCAGGGUUGGGAUCGUUCCCAGCACAGUCCUGUGCUUCAAUCUUCUGCGUGACAUCAGAUAAGUAAACACCAAGAUUUGAUGUGAGAACAUAUGUCCAUUGCAUAAUUCAUUAGCAUUCUUCUCUGGAAUUACUUUUAGAUAUAUGUACUUAGAUCAGAAUUAGUGGGUGAGGGUUAU
rnacentral:lncRNA from 1 species